GACGAACGCUGGAGGCGUGCUUAACACAUGCAAGUCGAACGAUGAAAUGGAGCUUGCUCCAUGGAUUAGUGGCGAACGGGUGAGUAACACGUGAAUAACCUGCCCUUAAUUUUGGAAUAACCCAGGGAAACCUGGGCUAAUACCGGAUAAGUAAACCUGUGGCAUCACAUGGUUUUGGAAAGUUUUUCGAUUAAGGAUGGAUUCGCGGCCUAUCAGCUUGUUGGUGAGGUAAUGGCUCACCAAGGCGACGACGGGUAGCCGGCCUGAGAGGGUGAACGGCCACACUGGGACUGAGACACGGCCCAGACUCCUACGGGAGGCAGCAGUGGGGAAUAUUGCGCGAUGGACGAAAGUCUGACGCAGCGACGCCUCGUGAGGGACGAAGGUCUUCGGAUUGUAAACCUCUUUCAGCAGGGACGAAGCGAAAGUGACGGUACCUGCAGAAGAAGCACCGGCUAACUAUGUGCCAGCCGCCGCAGUAA
rnacentral:rRNA from 1 species